rnacentral:lncRNA from 1 species
UGGACACCCCCAUCCUCUGGUCAGGGGUCUUAGGGAGUACUCACUUUACAGCAGCAACAGCAAUAGCAAUAAUAACAGCGUGGCUGCCACUUCCUGAGCACUUACUAAGUGCCAGGCACUGCCCUAGGAGCUUACUCCUGGGAGGCAGGGGCCGUUCCCAUUUCCAUUUUACAGGGGAGAAAACAGAAGCACAGAGAGGGUGAAAGACUCACUUUCUAGGCCAGCAAGUAGAAGGGCCAGGGAUUAGACUCUAUGCACCUGGACCCUUCACUGCUAGGGAAACCAAGGCCAGAGAGAGGAAAGGGCCCACCCUGAUGCCCCAGCACUGGAAUAGAAGAGCCAGGAUCAGAAAUGCCAGGUGCCACCGAGGACAGAGGAAUGAAGGUGGGGUCCCACGUCCCGUGCAUGUUCCCUUAGCUCCCUGGGCCUCUGUUUCUCUGUCUGUAAAGUAGAGAUGCUAACGGCACCUGCCCCAGAUAAUGGGUUUGAAGAUUAAUUGUUAAUGCACACAAAGCACUUAGGAGACAGCCUGCAUGCAGUAGGUGCCUGGUGCAGCCGCUGUCACCACUCUGCUGGGGCCCUGGGGCUGUAGUGCUGGCACUGGGUCUCUGGCGAGGCAGUGGGCAGCUGGGACAUCCCCACAGUUUACAAGAGAUAGCCUUGAGGUAGGACCCGCUCACCCAAGUCCGGCAGAGAGGACAGCCAGGCUUACAUGACUGACUGCUCGGCGUCUACCCACACACCAACCUGGUGUCCCCUCACUGAGCUCCCUGGCCUGGUUGCUCAUUGCGUGGGCCUCAGCCAAGGCUGGCCAGCCUGGCAGGAUGAGGCAUGUGGCUCGAACCCUUGGGGAUGCCCCCUUGGUGGCAGGGAGGGCCUGCCCAGAAGGGACUCUCUGUUUAUGGGUGUCACUGGCCAAGAAGCUGGCAGUGCUGACAAAUCUCGUGUGGUCCUCAUGCUGUGCAGGGCUUGUUCUCAAUGCUUUAUGCCUAACUGACAGGGCAGGGAACAGCAGCAGCCCAUUCUGCAGAUGGCAAAACUGAGCUGAGAGGCAAAGUUCCACAGCUGGUGAGCCACAGGGACCCAGAGGCUGCACCUUGACCACCACCUAUGAGAAUUAGACACAACAGUGGUCAUACCUCUGGAGCCCACACCAUGAGCCAGGCGUUGUUCUCACAGACUCAUUCCAUCUUCACAAUACCCUACGGGGUAGUGGCGAUUACUACCUGAAUUUUACAGAGACUCCAGGUGCAGAAAGAUUCUGGUGCUGGAAGCUUCCUAGAGGACUGGUCUCUAUCCCCUUCCCAGAGAAGGGGAUGUGGAGGACCUCAGGUGUCAGAGGACGGGCCCCAGAUCUUUGUGCCCACAGAGCAGCCUCUGGGAAAUGGUGGCAGCCUUCCUGGAUUUCCGGCAGGGUGAGCUACCUCGAACCCCAGAACCUCAGGGGUCCUCAGAGAGGGGGAGGAAAUUCACCUGAGGCUCACAGCAUGGCCCUGGCGGGGAGGGGAGAGGCGGUGGGAUGAGCAAGAGUUGAUUUAUUGUGACUGUGCUUGUGACAUCUAGGCUGCUGAGUUGCUGGGCCUGGCUCAUUCUCGCCAAGGACAAGCCCACCAGCUCUGCCGCCCAGUGUCCCUCUCCCUGUUUGGCCUCUGCAGGGGGUGAGACAAACCUGAGGGCAGCAGGAGUCCACACAGCCAUCUGUUUCUGGGGCCUGCAGGCUUCUCAAAGCGGGGAUUCUCUGGCUCCUGGGGUGGCUGAGCGCCCACCAUGCUCCAAACUCUGGGGCUCUCCAGCAAGCCGUUCCUGGCAUCAGACUCCAGCCCCGAGUCUCCCCACUGUGAGAGGAACAUGUCCUAGAGCUGGUGUGGGAAGAGCAUGCCCGGCUCGUGUGGUCACCUCAGCCCUGCAUCCAAUUUGAUUUCCCUCCAUCCCAUUUUCCACGUACGCACUGGCACAUUUGUGCCACCACAUGGCCCAGUGAUCGCAUACACAGGUGUGUACACCCAAGAGAAAUGAAGACAGGCGUCUAAACAAGCACCACCACAGCCAUGUUCACACAGGGCUGCUCACUGUCGCCAAAGGUGGAGAUAUCCUAACAUCCGUCACCUGAUGGACGCAAAGUGAAACACGGUCUGUCCACACAGCAGAGCAUCAUGCAAUCAUCACAAGGAAGGACAUGCUGGUCUAUGUUGCAACACGGAUGAGCCUCACAGCAUCAUGUUGAGUGAAAGCAGCCAGGCGCAAGAGCGUGCAUGCAGGAUUUCAUUCACAGGAAACACCAGUGGACAACUAUUCUCAAAUUCAUUCAUUCCACCAGGUCACUGAGUGCCUACUGUGUGCCAGGCACUGUGCUGGGCACUGGGGGUAAGCAGGUCCCAGAACAUCCGUGUCCCAGGGGAGCAACAUUCUAGUGGAGAAGACAAAGGCAAAAGUGCCAGCGUGUUCGCAGAGAAAUUCACAGAGACAGAAAGCAGAUUGGUGGUUGCCAGGGGCUGAAGGGAGGGGAAAUGGGGACAGGGUUUUCUGUUGCGGUGAUGAAAAUGUGUUGGAACUAGAUAAAGGUGGUGGUUGCACAACAUUAUGAGUAUAAUAAAUUCCACUAAAUGAUUCAUUUUAAAAAAUACAUUUUAAAAAUAGAGACAGAAUAUUGUUAUGUUGCUUAGGCUGGUCCCGAACUCCUGGCUUCAAGCAAUCCUCCUGCCUCGGCCUCCUGAAGUACUGAGAUUAUAGGCAUGAGCCACUGCACCUGGCCUGUUCACUUUGAAAUGGUUAAUUUUACAUUAUGUAAAUAGUACCUUAAUUAAAAAAAAUAAACCUGCCCGGCACGGUGGCUCACGCCUGUAAUCCCAGCACUUUGGGAGGCUGAGGUGGGCAGAUCACAAGGUCUGGAGUUCGAGAUCAGCCUAGCCAAUAUGGUGAAACCCUGUCUCUACUGAAAAUACAAAAAUUAGCUGGUUGUGGUGGCACACGCCUGUAGUCCCAGCUACUUGGGAGGCUGAGGCAGAAGAAUCGCUUGAACUCGGUAGGCAGAGGCUGCAGUGAGCCAAGAUUGCACCACUGCACUCCAGCCUGGCGACAGAGCGAGACUCCAUCUCAAAAACAAACAAACAAACAAAACAACAACAAAAAUAAACCCAUCAGAGAGACCAUCUUGCCCCUGC